rnacentral:rRNA from 1 species
GCUAAAGCCGGUCCAGCGGCGGCGUGAGUCGGGAGGGGUGAAGAGUUAUCCUGAUUAACUGGGGUUAAAGGGGGCGUAGUUGGGCAGUGAAGGCAGUGGUGAAAUCUCUGGGCUUAACCCAGAAACUGCCGUUGAUACUAUCUGUCUUGAAUGUAGUGGAGGUGAGCGGAAUAUGUCAUGUAGCGGUGAAAUGCUUAGAUAUGACAUAGAACACCAAUUGCGAAGGCAGCUCGCUACACUACUAUUGACACUGAGGCACGAAAGCGUGGGGAUCAAACAGGAUUAGAUACCCGGGUAGUC